ACGGCUCAGUAACACGUAGUCAACAUGCCCAGGGGACGUGGAUAACCUCGGGAAACUGAGAUUAAAACGCGAUAGGUCAAGAUUUCUGGAAUGGAUUUUGGCUUAAAUCUACAUGGCCCCUGGAUUGGACUGCGGCCGAUCAGGCUGUUGGUGAGGUAAUGGCCCACCAAACCUAUAACCGGUACGGGCUCUGAGAGGAGAAGCCCGGAGAUGGGCACUGAGACAAGGGCCCAGGCCCUAUGGGGCGCAGCAGGCGCGAAACCUCUGCAAUGGGCGAAAGCCUGACAGGGUUACUCUGAGUGAUUUCCGCUAAGGAGAUCUUUUGGCAGCUCUAAAAAUGGUGCAGAAUAAGGGGUGGGCAAGUCUGGUGUCAGCCGCCGCGGUAAUACCAGCACCCCGAGUGGUCGGGACGAUUAUUGGGCCUAAAGCAUCCGUAGCCGGUCGUGCAAGUCUUCCGUUAAAUCCAGCCGCUCAACGGAUGGGCUGCGGAGGAUACUACAGGACUAGGAGGCGGGAGAGGCAAGCGGUACUUAGUGGGUAGGGGUAAAAUCCUUUGAUCCAUUGAAGACCACCAGUGGCGAAGGCGGCUUGCCAGAACGCGCUCGACGGUGAGGGAUGAAAGCUGGGGGAGCAAACCGGAUUAGAUACCCGGGUAGUCCCAGCUGUAAACGAUGCAGACUCGGUGAUGGGCUAGCCUCGUGUCAGCCCAGUGCCGCAGGGAAGCCGUUAAGUCUGCCGCCUGGGGAGUACGGUCGCAAGACUGAAACUUAAAGGAAUUGGCGGGGGAGCAC
rnacentral:rRNA from 1 species